CGUGAGGCCGACAACGGCAAGCCCUAUCACCACCACCACCACCACCACUCGCGUGUGCGGAGAACACUUUCAGAAAGGCGAACCAUCGGCUGUACCGUCCGACCCUGACUACGUGCCAAAUGUGUUCGGAGUUCCCCAAACAUCGUCCUGCGACUUGGAAAAUCGUGCCGAAAAUGACGGCACGGGAGGAGCUCUGGCGAGAAACGCCCCUGCAAAGCACAUGGAAGGGCGCGAAAGACAGCCGUUCCGCCAUGGUGAGCCCCCCUC